UUUCAAGUUUUGUAAUUACAAGUUUUGUAAAACUUGUGUGAAUAAUACAUGAUAUUUAUUUGUUUAAAAUAUAAUGAUGUAGGAAUCAAUUUUUUAUAUGUGAUUUUCUUUCUUGGUAAUCAAAAAGUUAACUUGCAUGUUUGAUUGUUUUGGAGAUUUUUUGUCUUAAUGAGUGAUUCACCUUUGUUUAGAACCCUCCCACGCUGGCUACUCCUCUAUUUGAUACUAAAAUGGAAGAGGACCCUAAGAUGACAUACAUAGACCUAGAUAAUCUUCAAAUUGUGUUUUGAACGAAGAGUAGUGUUUGGUCUUGCAUUGUGAUGGCGUCUGAGUGUUGGCUUGGUCUCUGUUGGCUUGCUACAUAUCUAGAAAGCUCCAUGAUUUGUGCUAAGCUGAAGCGUAUCCAAUUUGGAUUUUCCAGCUCAAAAUAUCAGUAGAUUUGUUGUGGUAGUGCCUUAACAGGAUUUGAGACUUCUCCAUUCAGGAAAAGACAAGUCCGGUAGAUACAAAAAUUACAAGAUUGCAAGUUUGGAUUGAAGGUCACAAGAAAAAAAAUGGGGAGCCUAGUACUCAAGCUGUUGGAGAGAAAAUAGUGGACCUAAUUCGACCAAAUG